UGUUCUGCGGCUUAGUUGGGUCAAGCAUCGGACUAGCGAUACGGAGUCGUGGGUUCGAAUCCCACAAAAAUAA
rfam:Aedes albopictus isolate Foshan contig157410, whole genome shotgun sequence.